GGCGCGUAGCGAUUGGCUGCGUCCCGGGGAAGGCGGGACCUGUGGAGACCCCGCCUCCUCCGCCGGGUGCUGUUCCGCCUUGGCCUCCCCUGACCUCCCGCCGCGGUCGGCCUGGCCCGGUCCAGGCUGUGGGGCGCGGUUUCUGGGGUCUCGCGGCCCGUGGAAGGGGCUGAGGAGGAGGAGGAGGAGGAGAGGCAGCGGGCUCCGCCGCCCCCCGCGCCGUGUCCGGCAUGUUCCUCUGCGGGGCGGAGGCUCCGGAAGAGUCGCGCUCCAGCUGCUGGUUGUGCAAGAGGGAAUCCCAGUGAGCAAGCCCAGAGGCUUGCAGCCCUGGGGUGCUCCUGGGCCGUGCAAAGUCCGAGGUCGGGGUGCGGCCUGGAGGGGGCGGGCACGCCGCCCGGGCCCGAGCCAAGAUCCCUCCGGGGACUGCGCGUGCGUGCUCGAGCCGCACACUCACCGCCAAGCACCCCCUCUCCCCCCGCGCCCUCCGCCCCGGUUCCCUGCAGCGCGGCCCCUGCAUCCCCGCAGCCGAGCGGGGUUCGGGGUGCGGGGUGGAGGACACUGGCUCCCCGGAGCGCCCCCGCCUUCGGGCUGAAGUCCAGCACCAGCUACAAGUGCAAGGGCAAGGUCGAGGUGGAGAUCAUUUUUCCUGCUGGUACUGCGGGGCAGCGGUUCGGCUGGGCUGUAAGGCUGUGCUGUGAAUGACGGUGUCCUACCCGGUCCUUCUGUCCCUGUCAUCCCUUCACCCAUUCAUUCGUCAGCUCCCUCGCAAACUGUGGAAACGGAAUGCGACAA